AUUGAACGCUGGCGGCAGGCCUAACACAUGCAAGUCGAACGAGUGGCGGACGGGUGAGUAAUGUCUGGGAAACUGCCUGAUGGAGGGGGACAACUACUGUUAACGGUCGCUAAUACCGCAUACCAUCGGAUGUGCCCAGAUGGGAUGAGCUAGUAGGUGGGGUAAAGGCUCACCUAGGCGACGAUCCCUAGCUGGUCUGAGAGGAUGACCGGCGACACGGGAACUGGUGCAUGGUCCACACACCGUCGGGUGGCGGCAGUGGGAAAUAUUGGACGAGCGGCGGAAGCCUGGCGGACCGGUGGCGGGUGUGUGAAGAAGGCAAAAGAGUUGUAAAGUACUAUAAGCGGGGAGGCGUUACCAUUUGAAUAAGCACCGGCUAACUCCGUGCCAGCCGGCGCGGUAAUAC
rnacentral:rRNA from 1 species